UAUGACUUCAUGAUACGAUCCGAGUGUCUGAUGGUUUGUGUUUCUCAAGGCAAACACAAUCAGUCCAAAUGUACUGAGCUCCGCUGCUUUUGUUAUUACAAAUAAAUAUAUAAAAGAGAACAAGUAAAUUUUUAAGCUGGACCAUUUCAUGGUAAAGAAAGGAGUCAGAGGGACAGAGAUAAGCAGCUGUUUCUGAUUGGCGCAGAUGGAGCACGUGACCGGGCAGGCGUCAAACCGCCGCACGUCGGCCGUCUCACCUGGACCCUCAACAACCGGCAGGUAACCACUGAACAGCCUGUAUCCCGUCUAAACAAAACGGCAGGCAGCCUACCAGGUGAGCUCCAACAGAAACAGCUUCGAGCGUCUUCAUGAACAAGUCUCCAGUCACAGUGUAAUUUCCAGACCUACCAGCGGUUUCACCUGUCACUUCACAGCAGCAGCAAGUUCACCUGAGCCGGUUAGACAGGAGCAGCAGGACCCGUAGCAUUCCGCCAUGCGCACACACACACAUCCGCCUGUGGCAAUACUAAACUUUGUGUGUGUAUUGGUGUAAUUAUUUUAUAGAGGAUCAGGUGGAAAUUAGAAAAAGGCAUAGGUGAACACAAUUUACUGGAGCUGCAGUAACAGAAGAACCUGUAUUUGUGCUGUCUGUCACCAUGGUAAUGCAGGUGGUAAUCCCCCCUACAGUGUCGGCAUUGGUCUCCACCACAUUGUCCCUGAUCAGCUUGAGUCUGCUGCUGCUGCUCUGUGUCAUCAGGAAGAAAAGGAGGAUGGAGGGAACAUACAGGCCCAGUGCAGAAGAGAGGAAACAGACAGGAGCAGCAGGACCUGAAAAACCUGGCCUACCUUUACCGUUGCCCAAAGAAGAACGCCUCAUAUGACACAAGUGGCCUCACAGCCCUUCAUCCCCAUGUCACAAACCUCUGGAUUGAUUCCUGCCGCUGCGGCGCCGCCUUCCUCUGGGAUGAUCCAUGUUUGUCCUUUGCACCAGAAAACCUGAGACACACUAAACACUGUGCUGCACCUUGUCAUUCCCGGUGACAACCAAUAGACUAUUAGUUCUGUCACCUGUUUCACUGCAUGAAAAGAGGAAAUAUAUUAUGAGCAUGAGAGGUUUGCUCACUGCUAUUAUGCCCUUACCUUGACAAGUCACUCCCUUUAUUCUGCCUCAUAAGAAACAUGAGCUUAAGUAUAUUUUGUAUUUGUACAGAUGUUAGUCUAUUUUUUAUUGUAUUGUGCAUUUUUAUAUGAAAAAUGCACUCAUGAAGGAUGCUAAGUUUCAUAGAAAACAUAAAAGCCACUGUGUAUGCUACACAAGGGGUUUUGUUAAUAAAGCAGGAAUCUGCACACCAGGUACU